rfam:Zootermopsis nevadensis contig33892, whole genome shotgun sequence.
GCCACGGUGGUCUAGCGGUUAGAACGCUGGUCUUGUAAUCCUGGGUGUCCCGGGUUUGAUUCCCGGCGGUGCCC